rnacentral:rRNA from 1 species
GACGAACCGUGCAAACGUUGUUCGGAAUCACUGGGCUUAAAGGGCGCGUAGGCGGGUUCCCAAGUCGGUCGUGAAAUCCUUCGGCUCAACCGAAGAACGUCGAUCGAAACUGCCGUUCUUGAGGAUUGCAGAGGAGACUGGAAUUCCCGGUGUAGCGGUGAAAUGUGUAGAGAUCGGGAGGAACACCGGUGGCGAAGGCGGGUCUCUGGGCAAUUCCUGACGCUGAGGCGCGAAAGCGUGGGGAGCAAACGGG